rnacentral:lncRNA from 1 species
UCUGUAAACAAUGAGUGAGUUUACCAUUCCAUCAUUCCAUCAGUAAUCAGCAGCAAUGCCCUUCUUUGGCAAGAGCUGCGUAAGUGCAUCUUAAGGGUCAGUAUGUUAUGCAUUGUAAACUACGUUACAAAGCCACAACUAAAAAUACUACCAUGAGAUUUGAAUUUUAGGCUGGGAGAUUCCAUUCUCACCAUAAGCCUGUAAGAAAUAAAUUCCACUACUGUCCCCCUCGCACAGAUGGUAAAUGGAGCAGAGAGAAGGCAGGGCGCUGGGCCAGGCUUGCUUGGCUGGAAGGCUGUAGAGCUGGGAUUGGGAGCACAGCGUGUCUGGCUGGAGAGUCCCCACUCUUCUCUGCGACAUGGUUUAUCACAGUGGCUGUGCUGAUAUUUUAAGCCUGGCUGUUGUUAAUUUUUAUUGGGGACUGGUCCUGAAACGCCUCACCACUGAGGCUACUCAGUCAGCCCCAUUCUGCUGUCCUGUAGUUAGUUGAUCCUGCCCAACCUAUGGCAGAAUAGACAAAAGGUGUCCUAGGGAAAGGUCCCCAAAA